rnacentral:rRNA from 1 species
GCUGGCGGCAGGCUUAACACAUGCAAGUCGAGCGGGCGUAGCAAUACGUCAGCGGCAGACGGGUGAGUAACGCGUGGGAACGUACCUUUUGGUUCGGAACAACACAGGGAAACUUGUGCUAAUACCGGAUAAGCCCUUACGGGGAAAGAUUUAUCGCCGAAAGAUCGGCCCGCGUCUGAUUAGCUAGUUGGUGAGGUAAUGGCUCACCAAGGCGACGAUCAGUAGCUGGUCUGAGAGGAUGAUCAGCCACAUUGGGACUGAGACACGGCCCAAACUCCUACGGGAGGCAGCAGUGGGGAAUAUUGGACAAUGGGCGCAAGCCUGAUCCAGCCAUGCCGCGUGAGUGAUGAAGGCCCUAGGGUUGUAAAGCUCUUUUGUGCGGGAAGAUAAUGACGGUACCGCAAGAAUAAGCCCCGGCUAACUUCGUGCCAGCAGCCGCGGUAAUACGAAGGGGGCUAGCGUUGCUCGGAAUCACUGGGCGUAAAGGGUGCGUAGGCGGGUCUUUAAGUCAGGGGUGAAAUCCUGGAGCUCAACUCCAGAACUGCC